AANGAACNUCCCAGAGANGRANNNNNGCNNCGGGAACAUUGAGACAGGUGCUGCAUGGCUGUCGUCAGCUCGUGUCGCGAGAUGUUGGGUUAAGUCCCGUAACGAGCGCAACCCUUGUCCUUAGUUACCAGCACGUAAUGGUGGGCACUCUAAGGAGACUGCCGGUGACAAACCGGAGGAAGGUGGGGAUGACGUCAAGUCAUCAUGGCCCUUACGGCCUGGGCUACACACGUGCUACAAUGGUCGGUACAAAGGGUUGCCAAGCCGCGAGGUGGAGCUAAUCCCAUAAAACCGAUCGUAGUCCGGAUCGCAGUCUGCAACUCGACUGCGUGAAGUCGGAAUCGCUGGUAAUCGCGAAUCAGAAUGUCGCGGUGAAUACGUUCCCGGGCCUUGUACACACCGCCCGUCACACCAUGGGAGUGGGUUGCACCAGAAGUAGCUAGUCUAACUUCGGGGGGACGGUUACCACGGUGUGAUUCAUGACUGGGGUGAAGUCGUAACAAGGUA
rnacentral:rRNA from 1 species